rnacentral:rRNA from 1 species
UACAGAGGGUGCGAGCGUUGUUCGGAAUUACUGGGCGUAAAGCGCGCGCAGGCGGCCCUUUAAGUCCGCUGGUGAAAACCCGGGGCUCAACCCCGGGCCUGCAUUCGAUACGGGCAGACUAGAGUUCGGUAGGGGAGUCUGGAAUUCCUGGUGUAGCGGUGAAAUGCGCAGAUAUCAGGAGGAACACCGGUGGCGAAGGCGGGACUCUGGGCCGAUACUGACGCUGAGGAGCGAAAGCGUGGGGAGCAAACAGG